rnacentral:rRNA from 1 species
GAUGAACGCUGGCGGCGUGCCUAAUACAUGCAAGUCGAACGCACAGCGAAAGGUGCUUGCACCUUUCAAGUGAGUGGCGAACGGGUGAGUAACACGUGGACAACCUGCCUCAAGGCUGGGGAUAACAUUUGGAAACAGAUGCUAAUACCGAAUAAAACUCAGUGUCGCAUGACACAAAGUUAAAAGGCGCUUUGGCGUCACCUAGAGAUGGAUCCGCGGUGCAUUAGUUAGUUGGUGGGGUAAAGGCCUACCAAGACAAUGAUGCAUAGCCGAGUUGAGAGACUGAUCGGCCACAUUGGGACAGAGACACGGCCCAAACUCCUACGGGAGGCUGCAGUAGGGAAUCUUCCACAAUGGGCGAAAGCCUGAUGGAGAAACGCCGCGUGUGUGAUGAAGGCUUUCGGGUCGUAAAGCACUGUUGUAUGGGAAGAACAGCUAGAAUAGGGAAUGAUUUUAGUUUGACGGUACCAUACCAGAAAGGGACGGCUAAAUACGUGCCAGCAGCCGCCGUAA